rnacentral:rRNA from 1 species
CUACGGGUCGCAGCAGUGGGGAAUAUUGCACAAUGGAGGAAACUCUGAUGCAGCAACGCCGCGUGGAGGAUGACACUUUUCGGAGCGUAAACUCCUUUUAUAUAGGAAGAAGAUGACGGUACUAUAUGAAUAAGCGCCGGCUAACUCCGUGCCAGCAGCCGCGGUAAUACGGAGGGCGCAAGCGUUACUCGGAAUCACUGGGCGUAAAGAGCGUGUAGGCGGAUUAAAAAGUCAGAAGUGAAAUCCUAUAGCUUAACUAUAGAACUGCUUCUGAAACUCUUAAGCUAGAAUAUGGGAGAGGUAGAUGGAAUUUCUGGUGUAGGGGUAACAUCCGUAGAGAUCAGAAGGAAUACCGAUUGCGAAGGCGAUCUACUAGAACAUUAUUGACGCUGAGACGCGAAAGCGUGGGGAGCAAACAGGAUUAGAUACCCUUGUAGUC